AGCUCCAAUAACGUAUAUUAAAGUUGUUGCGGUUAAAAAGCUCGUAGUUGGAUUUCUGUUGAGUUUGGCCGGUCCCCUCUCUGAGGGCGUAUCUGGUCCGAAUUCGGCAUCUAGCCGCGGCACGGUCUGUCCUUCACUGGAUGGGCCGGGACGCGGUUCUUUUACUUUGAGGAAAUUCGAGUGUUCACUGCAGGCCUUCGCCUGAAGAUAUUAGCAUGGAAUAAUAAUAUAAGACUUUAGUUUUAUUUUGUUGGUUUCUAAGACUGAAGUAAUGAUUAAUAGGGAUAUUUGGGGGCAUUCGUAUUAUGCGGUCAGAGGUGGAAUUCUUGGAUUCGCAUACGACGAACUACUGCGAAAGCAUUUGUCAAGAAUGUUUUCA
rnacentral:rRNA from 1 species